GGAUUCAGUGGCAGUACAUGCACUAAAAUUGGAACGAUACAGAGAAGAUUAGCAUCGCCACCACGCAAGGAUGAUACUUUAAUGAAAAUGUAGAAAUUGUA
rnacentral:snRNA from 1 species